AUACGGAGGGUGCAAGCGUUGUUCGGAAUCACUGGGCGAAAAGGGCGCGCAGGCGGUUUGGUAAGUCAGAUGUGAAAGCCCACGGCUCAACCGUGGAAGUGCAUUUGAAACUGUCAGACUUGAGUACUAGAGGGGAAAGUGGAAUUCCCGGUGUAGAGGUGAAAUUCGUAGAUAUCGGGAGGAAUACCGGUGGCGAAGGCGACUUUCUGGCUAGAUACUGACGCUGAGGCGCGAAAGCGUGGGGAGCAAACAGGAUUAGAAACCCUAGUAGUCC
rnacentral:rRNA from 1 species